ACCACACAAAAGGGGUGUCGCUCCCGCCGCCCUACUCCCUCACUAAUGCCGGCGCCAACUCACCAGGACCGUGGUGCAGAUGGACCUCAGCUCCGACUCCACUUUCUCCCGAUAGUCCUUGAUCAGCUGCAACUUCUUGUCAGAGGUGUCGGUCUUCUGCUCAAUGCUCGAGAUGACCCUCCAGGCGGACCUGCGGCCCCCUACCACGUUUUUGUAGGCCACCGACAGCAGGUUGCGCUCCUCGUUGGACAGCUCGGCGCCCUGCUCCGUCACGGCUUUCAUGCAGGUGGCCAUGUCGUCGUAGCGCUCGGCCUGCUCGGCCAGCUUGGCCUUCUGGAUCAGCUCGGUCUUCUCCAUGGCGAGCGAGGGCGAGCGCCGAGCCGGAUCCGGAGUCCUCCUGAGAGCCGCGAGGGGCGGGGCGGGGCGGCGCCGGCGAGGACAAAAAGGAGCGAGGAGAGAGCGCGUCAGACAAUGCAGCCGGACGCCCGCUUUGUCUCAGCGCACGAGGCGGCGCGUCCUCCGGCCUCUCACGGGGCCGCCGCCUUCCGCCCGCGCCCUCCGGCCCGCCCGCCGCGCCUCCCCAAGGCCGGAGCGCGGGCCCCACCCGGCCCAAGAUGGAAGCGGCCGUUGGUGCCGCACCUUCCCGUCCCAGCCCGAACCUCAGGCGCGCGGUAGCCUAGCAGAUAUGAGGACCGUGCUCCGCCAACCCGGCCUCGGUACCUCGCGGCGGCUGUUGCAGCCGCAGUCCCAGAGCUGUGUCCGCACUCACCUUCUAGUCUCCGCAGCCGCGACGCGAGUCCCACCACUUUGAUCUGCUUUGGGCUUUAGCCGAGGACCCUCCCGUCUCAGCCUAGCACGGAGCCGACGAGCUCGCCACCGACCAAUAGAACGCUGCACCUCCCCAAGGAGUCCCGCCUCUAGCUUCUCCUCUGUCCAAUGAGGGGCGAGCGCGCGGAAGGGGGCCCAGGGGGCGGGGCGGGAAGCGAAGCGGAGGCUCCGAGGGUGGGUCGGCUCGGGUAGGUUCGGUUGGCCCGCAGGCUGCGGCUUCGGCCACGGGGUUUCCUCCAAUUAGAUCCAGGGUGAAUGGACGUCACUGUUGCCAUGGCGAUGCUUUUCCAACUCCCCUCAUCCUCCCCGCCAGCCCGGCACUCCUGGGUGCGGCACGGGACCGGAGGUGCUUUCGACCUCCGAGGCUGCGACCGCGUGUCCUGUAGCAGCAACCACUGCAGAUGGGGCGUUGCAGCUCUCGAGCUGCUGCGGCUGCAGCUGGACUUGGCAGGGGUGAGAUAAUUAGCCCUUUUGAUGCACAAGCGCCUUCCUUUCUUCUACCUUCCUGUUCUUGACAAAGGCACCCGAAAGCCAGCAAUUCCCUUAUGGAAAGGUAGAUUCAGGAGAUCUGGGCAGGACUGCGUGGCAGCGUCAGGCUCCCUUAUUUCCUAGCCCUCAAUCCAAUUCCUAGUGAGGUGGCUGUCCUACCGGACUCAAAGAAUGAAACUGCCACCUGGGCUCUGAAGAGAUGCCAGUUCCAGUAGUUCCUCAAGGGUUCAAAGAACUUCAGUGACUGCCACAGGCAAAGUGGAUUCAAAUGCUAAACGGAACCAAGCAGACCGAAGACUGCAGAAAGGAAGGUGAGUCACAUACAUUCAGUUGAAAUCCAGGAGAGAGAAAAACAGCUUCCUUAGAGCAAGAGAGCCCUUCAGCAGUCUGUGUUUGAGUGUCAUCUUGUAACAGAGGCUCCUUUGAAACCUUUGGACUGAAAAUGGAACAUCAACCCUUCUGGGGCUCAGCUUGUUGGCCCACCC
rnacentral:lncRNA from 1 species